GGAAGUAAAGUCGUAACAAGGUUUCCGUAGGUGAACCUGCGGAAGGAUCAUUAUUGUAUACCCGAGGUGCGAGGGCUGUCGCUGACCCGAAAGGUCGUGCACGCCCGAGUGCCCUCACACACAUCCAUCUCACCCCUAUGUGCACCACCGCGUGGGUCCCCCUUUGGCUUGUUCGGAGGGGGGCUUACGUUUUCACACAAACUUUGUAUGCAGUGUAGAAUGUAUUUUUUGUUUUUGCGAUCACGCAAUCAAUACAACUUUCAACAACGGAUCUCUUGGCUCUC
rnacentral:misc_RNA from 1 species